rnacentral:miRNA from 1 species
UGGAACAAAGUAGGUGGCGUGC